rnacentral:lncRNA from 1 species
UCUCGUACCUCCUUUGCAAUCCAACUCAGCUCCAUCUAUUUUUUUUCAAAAUCAUAUAAUAUUAUGAUCCGGUUCUUAUUGACCCCGAUACUUAAAUUUGCUAGGCUAAAUUAGAGGGCCCUUUGCCACCCCUAACUCCAGAUGUCCUGGACAGUAAGUAAGCGUCAGACAUGUCGAGUUUUCUAGCUCGAGUUCCACGCGAGCACUACAAAAUUUAGAGGAGAGGAUGUCACUUACGAAGACAUUGCUUGUACUCUACCGGCUUUAGAUUAUCUCUCGCUUAAUUAAUCUGCUUGUGAUAUGUUUUCUAAAUCCCAUAAAAUUUGACAUUUCUGAUAGCCAGUUCAUAUAACCGACCGCAAGAUUUGGAUCCGUGCUUUGCUUACCUAAAGAAUCAACUGCUAGCAUUCCUUGUCAUGGCAGAAACAGCACCGGCUGCGUUCUACACCCUGCUCUGCCUCGUCGGUGGCGUCAUCGUGCUCCUAAAGUUGACGAAGGCCGUCUUCUCCCGGCGCGGCGCCGGCUUGAACCUGCCUCCUGGGCCAUGGCCGCUGCCGGUCAUCGGGAACAUGCACUGCCUGCUCGGCGCGCUGCCGCACCACGCGAUGCGGGGGCUGGCGCGGAGGUACGGCGCCGUCGUGUUCCUCCGCCUGGGGCACGUCCCCACGGUGGUGGUCUCGUCCCCGGAGGCGGCGAGGGAGGUCUUGAAGACCCACGACGCCGUCGUCUCCGACCGGCCCCUGUACGUGACCGCGGACAUCCUCACCUACGGCGGCCAGAACAUCGCCUUCGCGCCCUCCGGCAGCCGGCACUGGAAGGAGGUCCGGCGGCUCUGCGCCACGGAGCUGCUGGGCCCCAAGCGCGUGCUCUCCUUCCGCCCCAUCCGGGAGGAGGCGGCAGCGAGCCUGGUCCGGUCCGUCGCCGCGGCGUCGCCGGCCGCCGUGAACCUCAG